rnacentral:sRNA from 1 species
ACCAUACACGGACAUACAUGGAAGCGGAGAUGCCCUCAUGUUUAUCGAUGAUGCAGUGAUUGCCGGUUUGUUGACUGUGGGUCUGAUGGUCAUUUUCCUGGCCGGGGUGGGCGUUUUCAUCUACCAGGAUGCGCGCAAGAGCAGCAAGAAGAAUCCCUGAUUCCACUGAUUUCGAGAGUUCCGACCAGCGGUGCACGAUCUCGGAACCUGCAAAUGAGCAUGGCUCGCAAGGCCUUUGGCGGUUACCUUCUGGUGACCGCCUUUUU